GCGGAGGGCCGGAUGGCCGCCUGCGGUCCGCCUUGCGCGGAUCGCCGGGAGGAAAGUCCGGACUCCACAAGGCAACGGUGCCGGGUAACGCCCGGCCGGGGCAACCCGAGGGAAAGCGCCACAGAAAACAGACCGCUCCUGCGGUUCGCUGACGCGGAUCACGUGAGUAAGGGUGAAACGGUGGGGUAAGAGCCCACCGCGGGACGGGCAACCGGACCGGCACGGCAAGCCCCACCGGGAGCAAUGCCGAAUAGGGAUCGCACAGGGGCCGCCUUGGCCCGCGAUCCGGGUAGGCAGCUAGAGCGUGCGGGCAACCGUACGCUCAGAUGAAUGGUCAUCCACGGGACGCGCCCUGCGCUCCCUGGACAAAAUCCGGCUUACAGGCCCUCCGCGCAU
rnacentral:RNase_P_RNA from 2 species